rnacentral:tRNA from 1 species
GGCCGAGUGGUGGAAUUGGUAGACACGAUGCGUUUAAGCCGCAUUCCUACGGGGUGAGGGUUCGAGUCCCUCUCGGACU